rnacentral:rRNA from 1 species
GACGAACGCCCGCUGCGUGCUUAACACAUGCAAGUCGAACGGAAAGGCCCUGCUUUUGUGGGGUGCUCGAGUGGCGAACGGGUGAGUAACACGUGAGUAACCUGCCCUUGACUUUGGGAUAACUUCAGGAAACUGGGGCUAAUACCGGAUAGGAGCUCCUGCUGCAUGGUGAGGGUUGGAAAGUUUCGGCGGUUGGGGAUGGACUCGCGACUUAUCAGCUUGUUGGUGGGGUAGUGGCUUACCAAGGCUUUGACGGGUAGCCGGCCUGAGAGGGUGACCGGCCACAUUGGGACUGAGAUACGGCCCAGGCUCCUACGGGAGGCAGCAGUGGGGAAUAUUGCACAAUGGGCGGAAGCCUGAUGCAGCAACGCCGCGUACGGGAUGACGGCCUUCGGGUUGUAAACCGCUUUCGCCUGUGACGAAGCGUGAGUGACGGUAAUGGGUAAAGAAGCACCGGCUAACUACGUGCCAGCAGCCGCGGUGAUACGUAGGGUGCGAGCGUUGUCCGGAUUUAUUGGGCGUAAAGGGCUCGUAGGUGGUUGAUCGCGUCGGAAGUGUAAUCUUGGGGCUUAACCCUGAGCGUGCUUUCGAUACGGGUUGACUUGAGGAAGGUAGGGGAGAAUGGAAUUCCUAGUGGAGCGGUGGAAUGCGCAGAUAUCAGGAGGAACACCAGUGGCGAAGGCGGUUCUCUGGGCCUUUCCUGACGCUGAGGAGCGAAAGCGUGGGGAGCGAACAGGCUUAGAUACCCUGGUAGUCCACGCUGUAAACGGUGGGUACUAGGUGUGGGGUCCAUUCCACGGGUUCCGUGCCGUAGCUAACGCUUUAAGUACCCCGCCUGGGGAGUACGGCCGCAAGGCUAAAACUCAAAGGAAUUGACGGGGCCCCGCACAAGCGGCGGAGCAUGCGGAUUAAUUCGAUGCAACGCGUAGAACCUACCUGGGUUUGACAUGGAUCGGGAGUGCUCAGAGAUGGGUGUGCCUCUUUUGGGGUCGGUUCACAGGUGGUGCAUGGCUGUCGUCAGCUCGUGUCGUGAGAUGUUGGGUUAAGUCCCGCAACGAGCGCAACCCUUGUUCACUGUUGCCAGCACGUUAUGGUGGGGACUCAGUGGAGACCGCCGGGGUCAACUCGGAGGAAGGUGGGGAUGACGUCAAGUCAUCAUGCCCCUUAUGUCCAGGGCUUCACGCAUGCUACAAUGGCUGGUACAGAGAGUGGCGAGCCUGUGAGGGUGAGCGAAUCUCGGAAAGCCGGUCUCAGUUCGGAUUGGGGUCUGCAACUCGACCUCAUGAAGUCGGAGUCGCUAGUAAUCGCAGAUCAGCAACGCUGCGGUGAAUACGUUCCCGGG